GACGAACGCUGGCGGCGUGCUUAACACAUGCAAGUCGAACGAUGAAACCUAGCUUGCUAGGUCGAUUAGUGGCGAACGGGUGAGUAACACGUGACUAACCUGCCCCUUUCUCUGGGAUAACGCUCCGACAGGCGGGCUAAUACCGGAUACUCACACCUCGGCCCAUGCCUUGGUGUGGAAAGUUUUUCGGAAAGGGAUGGAGUCGCGGCCUAUCAGCUUGUUGGUGAGGUAACGGCUCACCAGGGCGACGACGGGUAGCCGGCCUGAGAGGGCGACCGGCCACACUGGGACUGAGACACGGCCCAGACUCCUACGGGAGGCAGCAGUGGGGAAUAUUGCACAAUGGGCGCAAGCCUGAUGCAGCGACGCCGCGUGAGGGAUGAAGGUCUUCGGAUUGUAAACCUCUUUCAGUAGGGACGAAGCGAAAGUGACGGUACCUAAAGAAGAAGCACCGGCUAACUACGUGCCAGCCGCCGCCGUAA
rnacentral:rRNA from 1 species